UACGAAGGGGGCUAGCGUUGCUCGGAAUCACUGGGCGUAAAGGGUGCGUAGGCGGGUCUUUAAGUCAGGGGUGAAAUCCUGGAGCUCAACUCCAGAACUGCCUUGAUACUGAAGAUCUUGAGUUCGGGAGAGGUGAGUGGAACUGCGAGUGUAGAGGUGAAAUUCGUAGAUAUUCGCAAGAACACCAGUGGCGAAGGCGGACUCACUGGCCCGAUACU
rnacentral:rRNA from 1 species